rnacentral:rRNA from 1 species
UGCAACCUGAGCUCAGUCGUGAUU